rnacentral:lncRNA from 1 species
GCAGAAAAUUAUAAUUACAGGCCAGUAUCAAUUCACACAGUUAGAUGCAAAUAUAUUUGUAUCUAUGUCUACAUCUACAUAUAAAAGUUAUUACAUAUAUACUAGUGGAAUGCUAUUCUAUACCUCUCAGAUGGAGUAAAAAUGAAAUUUGGUAAAACUAACUUGUGACAAGUAUGUGGACCAGCAAGAAUGCUCAUUCCUUGUUGGAGGAAGUGCAAACUAGUUCCACAUUUUGGAAUUAGCUGGGAAAUGAACUGAUGAAGUUGAAUAUGUGUAAAUUGUAUAAUGCAGCAAUUUUAAACCAAGAUGUAUCCUCCAGGGAAAUUCCUGCACGGGUGUACAAGGAUGUUAGAGAAUAGCACAUCCUGAAAUAUCACUGGUGGUAGGCAGCAUUUAAAAGGGGCCCUAGAAGUCCCAACUUCCAGGUAUUCAUGCCCUUGGGAAAUCCUUUCCCCUCAGGUGUGGGCUGGACCUAGUGCUUCACUUCCCAUGUAGAAAAUGGCAAAGAUGGUGGACUGUCACUUUUGAGAUUAGGUAACAAAAAGAAUCUGUGAUUUCUAUUUCUGUCUGGGAGCCUGUACUUUGGGGGAAGGAAGCUGCCAUGUUGUGGCCAACUUUAUACAGAGGGCCAAGUGACAAAGAACUGGUCCAUCCAUCCUAAGUCAUUGAGGCCAGGAGCCUUGUCAAAGUCUUGAGACUCACUUCUACCCUGGAAAGCACUUGGGCCCCAGCCAGCACCUUGACCCCCUGACUAGGGGCCUGUGACAGAUCUGGACUCAGAGACCUCACCACCCCAACAUUCCUGAUCUGCAGAAACUGAGAUAACAGCAAGAAAAGGAGUUUUGUUUUGUUUGCUUUGGGUUCUUUUGGCUUUGAGUUGCUAAGUGUUAGCAGUAAUUUGUCACAUAGCUGUGCAGCCCCCCCCCAACUAGAGAUAACCUAAAUGCCUGUGAGCAUUAGAAUAGAAGAAUUAAAAUAUAAUUUUAAGUCAUAAACAAUGAAAAUGAAGGAUGCAACAAAAAGUCUCAAAAAUUUAAGAAUAUGUACAGGACAACAUUCAUUAGUAUGAACAUUAAAAAAAUAAACAAAAUUAACACAUAUUUUUGGACACAUGCAGAUGUGAUACAACUAUAAAGAAAAGCUAGGGUCUGAUCACAACAAGGGCCUUGACAGAUGUCCUGUUUCAGGGAAGGAGGAGGAAUGAGCCCCCUUAACCCAUUGCGGCAUCUAAGGUGUUACAACGACCUAUUCUUGACCUACAAGAUGGUCAAGCAUUCACUUCAUUAUCCUUUCAUCUGCUCUUCCACGUUGUAUAUUCUUUUCAUUUACAAAUUUUUAAAAAAGCAAAACCAAGCGAAAAAAGAAAACUAUUGCAAUGCAAUCAAUCGAUACAUAAAUAUUUUGGAGGAUGAAAAACGGCCAGAUGGCUGGUCAGUUAGACGCAGACAUUUGUUCUUUAUGUCUAGAUAAGAGCUGUACAUCUUCCAAGUCUCCAUGAGAGUCCAGUUGACAAAGAUCUUUUUUCUCCUGUGUUGUCCUUAAGGCCUUCUCCCUCCCCUGCAGGUUGGGGCAUUCAGAGGCCAGGGCCUGCUGUUUAUCAUCUGGAAACAGAUCUGGCACUGGCUGCUUCAGCCCUAAACCCUAAACCUUCCCGAGGAAGGUUCUCUAGAAGCCGGCGUGCGCCCACCGCCACCUCCCUGAAGUCUCCCAGAAGAAGCGAUCAGAGCCCCGUGGGCGCCUAGAGCACUUGCGACAUGAGGGCUUUUACCUAGGGUGGGGGUUAAGCAGACAGAGCUGUCCUAGAAGAAUUCAAUCCGGCCUCAAGCAGGUGAGAAAGCUUCACCUCACCUUCUUCACCUUUGAUCGAUCCCAAAGGCUCCCUGCGGAGCACAAACCAAAUAUCAAGAGAAUACGGGAGUCAUCCGCCUCCAGGCAAGCAGGAGAAGUAACAAUGAGAUGGAUGUCGAGCAGAGAAGCGACACGGGGAGGAAGGAGCACCCCUGGAACAUCUCUGCCACCCUAAGGCACGCAUACAGCCCCCCAUCCGUCCCAUCCCCACCCUCCCCACCUCUCCCCACAGGACACCCCGCCCCCCGCACUGUGGCCUUUGUCACCGCAGGCCUCUUCUGGUGCAGACCUCAUCGCUGAUCGCCACUCACCCUGUGGUCCGCUGUUGCCUGCGGCGCGGGUUCGGGGCAGGCAGGACCAGCAAGGGGCGGGCAGUAGGUGUUUCCCAGUGGAAGGAGCUUUCCGCGGAGGAGGGACCGGACGGUGGACCGGAGGCUGGGCGACGUGGAAAGGAUCAGGCCUUCUGUAGGUCUGAGCCCACCAUGGGUCUCACCUGAGACACAGCUGUAUGGCUUUUGGAAGGGAAGAAUCAUUUUCCCAGUCUUUUCCAGCUUCCAAAGGCUGUCUCCAACCUCCAGCUUGGGCCUCUUUUUUCAUCAUCUC